UAGAACAGAGAAAGAAGGAGGCUUUGAGAGAAAGAAAGAAAAGAGAAGAAAAGUCUAGGAGAUUAGAAGAAGCUCAAGAGAAGGAUUAGAGAUUUCAACUUAUUAAGGUAAGAGGGAUAGUAACAUAGUUAUUGGAGAUGAUUCAUGAGAGGAGAGAAAAUUAUUUUUCUCUAGCCCAAACUCUCUCAUCCUAAUUGGGGGUUUGUAUGUGGGAUUUGGGAAUGUGUUUAUUAAGAACUUUUGUGUGUUGAUUCAUGAUUCUACUUGUUCUAUCAUGAUUAUUGAGUGUUUUAAUAUGAUAAAAAUACUC
rnacentral:lncRNA from 1 species